CAGUGUCCCACAUCUCCACGCGACCUUCAGCCCGAUAUUGCCCCAGCUAGGAUGGGCGACAAAAUCUGGCUGCCCUUUUGUUUGUUCCUCCUGGUCGCUUUACCCCUAAGGCUGCUGCCGGGGGUGGCCGGCUUCACGCCUUCCUUAGACAGCGACUUUACAUUUACCCUUCCGGCCGGACAGAAGGAGUGUUUCUACCAGUCCAUGCCGCUGAAGGCCUCGCUGGAGAUCGAGUACCAAGUUUUAGAUGGAGCAGGAUUAGAUAUUGAUUUCCAUCUUGCCUCUCCAGAAGGCAAAACUUUAGUUUUUGAACAAAGAAAAUCAGAUGGAGUUCACACAUAAGGACGCUCAGAGAUGUUAAAUAAGUCUGCAGGGAUACACAUUCAGGGCGGAGACAGGAUGAACCAAAACUCUUGCUUUCUACUAUAUGAUGCUCAGAACAUCCCUGGCACAUAGCACUACUAAAAUCUUUGAAGAUUAUACAUCAUCCAUAAGGGAGCCAUUGUCAGUCAAGAUGCAUGUUAUAGACUACCUCUUCCAAUAUAACUUCAAGAUCAAGCAAUCAAUCAGUUGAAAAUCCUCAAAGAAUAGAAUAGUUUGUGAACAAGAACACCAUGUUUUAUAACAUUAUUACUGCAUACUUAUUGUGUAUUUUCUCUGAAUUGAUGCUGUUUGUGAGAUACCAGGAAAACCCAAAGACAGAAACUAAAUUUUAAGGAAUAAAAUUGAGGGUUGAGCUUUGGAGGUCACAAACCAUUUUAAUAUCUAAGAUUUUUUUCUUUUGUCCUUUUCUGAGCAAUAUCACAUUCAUUGAGAAAGCUUAGAGUAAAUGAAUGCUAUCCUUCAGAAUAGUCAUUUUUACUGGUUAUACAGUUCUUGUAACAAUGUACACAUUAGAGUGCAAUGGAAAAUUUUCCUCAGGAAAUGUCCUACAUCUGGGUUAGAUUAUCUCCUAUUUAUGUCAUAGUUUUUUACCUUUUAAAAUUGUUCCCCACUGUAUUCAUCAGUAUUUGCACAGGCUUCUCCCAAAGGUAAAUAUGUCCCCAGAAGACAAGCUUGUCGUAAUUGGGACUGCAAAGACUAUGGGCAAGUUCUGAGCAGUAUAACAGAAAGAUUAACUUGAACUGGGCAUGGUGGUGCACACUUGUAAUCCCAGCACUCUGGAGGCUGAGGCAGGAUUGCCACAAGUUUGAGCCCAGCCUCAGCUACAUAGUGAGUUCAAGGCCAACCUGACCUACAUAGUGAGACCCUGACUUGUAAUCAAAAAAAAUCAGGAAUCAGACUUCAUCGAUGCCUGUUAACAGAUGAUGUGAUGAUCAUGUGAAAAUAUUUUAACCUGUUUGAACUUCAUUUUAUUUACCUGUAAAAGUUAAAUUAUGCCUACUUCCAAAUGUGAUAAGGAUUAAAAGAAAUAAAAGAUGUGAAGUCAG